UGUAGCCUUUUUCUUUUUAACAGAUACGUGGGAGUGGACCCCCUCGUCAAUGUGUGCCCUCCGGCCUCAACUGUUAAUUUGCACGCUCGCGCUCAGUCCUCUGUAUCAUCCUCAUAAUUGGUAAGGAACAGUCUCAAAAUCGAAUCGAUGCCAGUGCGUUCUUUAACUUGCCAGCUUCAAUGCCUUCUUCACAUGCCACAAAAGCAGACACUUCAUGUGCUGUUCUCAAAAACCCUUCACAUGUUGGCAUGGGAGCUCUGUCCCGUGCGUCAGGCUGAACAUGGGCCGAUUGCAAUUCGGUUUGACAUGAAUCUGAAGCCCAAUGCUGAAAUCCUUUCCGUUUUGAAUCGAAGGCCCGGUCCAACCAGCUGCAAUUCUACACAUGGCGGGUCUGCAAUAUUAGCAUGAGUCAGGCCGAUUCAACCUGGACAGUCUCUUUUCUAUUGGAACAUAAUUUAUUCCAGGUUUUUUUUUCCAACAAUUUUUAUUCCAGUUUGAAACGAGAAAAAAAUCUGAAGCGUUGAAAAGUGACCAGUCUAAGUAUAGCAAUUACAAUAUCUGUAUGCAAUUUGGUUUAUAUAUAUUUACAUUUAAAUUA